GAGGACGGUCUGGGUUUGGCCGGGGGCCCUGAAGGUUUGGUGUCUGUUUUAGCCCCCUGAUGGGAGCAGCGGUGGAAUAAUAGUUGAUUUGAGUCAUCCGGGAUUAAAUUAAAAUGAUUUUUUUGGGGGUUAAUGGAAAGAAAAUUGUGUACACGAAUCAGUUGUG